rfam:Glycine soja cultivar W05 scaffold1671_12, whole genome shotgun sequence.
CUUUUAUUGGACAUUAACUGUCACAUGUCACGCUUUUACGGGAGGUUAACGUUAAUUAGAUGUAUAAAAUUAACGUCCAAUAAAAGCGUGAGAUGUGUCGGUCAAUGUCU